CCUACGGGAGGCAGCAGUGAGGAAUAUUGGUCAAUGGACGAGAGUCUGAACCAGCCAAGUAGCGUGAAGGAUGACUGCCCUCUGGGUUGUAAACUUCUUUUAUAAAGGAAUAAAACGAGGCCCUUGUGCCUUUUUGCAUGUACUUUAUGAAUAAGGAUCGGCUAACUCGGUGCCAGCAGCCGCGGUAAUACGGAGGAUCCGAGCGUUAUCCGGAUUUCGUGGGUUUAAAGGUAGCGUAGAUGGGUUGUUAAGUCAGUUGUGAAAGUUUGCGGCUCAACCGUAAAAUUGCAAUUGAUACUGGCAGUCUUGAGUACAGUUGAGGUAGGCGGAAUUCGUGGUGUAGCGGUGAAAUGCUUAGAUAUCACGAAGAACCCCGAUUGCGAAGGCAGCUUACUAAACUGUGACUGACAUUGAUGCUCGAAAGUGUGGGUAUCAAACAGGAUUAGAUACCCCUGUAGUC
rnacentral:rRNA from 1 species